rnacentral:rRNA from 1 species
GACGAACGCUGGCGGCGUGCUUAACACAUGCAAGUCGAACGGAAAGGCCCUGCUUUUGUGGGGUGCUCGAGUGGCGAACGGGUGAGUAACACGUGAGUAACCUGCCCUUGACUUUGGGAUAACUUCAGGAAACUGGGGCUACUACCGGAUAGGAGCUCCUGCUGCAUGGUGGGGGUUGGAAAGUUUCGGCGGUUGGGGAUGGACUCGCGGCUUAUCAGCUUGGUGGUGGGGUGGUGGCUUACCAAGGCUUUGACGGGUAGCCGGCCUGAGAGGGUGACCGGCCACAUUGGGACUGAGAUACGGCCCAGACUCCUACGGGAGGCAGCAGUGGGGAAUAUUGCACAAUGGGCGGAAGCCUGAUGCAGCAACGCCGCGUGCGGGAUGACGGCCUUCGGGUUGUAAACCGCAUUCGCCUGUGACGAAGCGUGAGUGACGGUAAUGGGUAAAGAAGCACCGGCUAACUACGUG